GGACCGUAAGCUCAGUUGGUAGAGCAGCCGGCUCAUAACCGGUCGGUCCGGGGUUCGAGUCCCUGACGGUCCACCA
rnacentral:tRNA from 1 species